GCAUAAACACUUAAGGGUAUUUGGUGGAUGCCUUGGCGUUAAGAGGCGAUGAAGGACGUGAUAGCCUGCGAUAAGCUACGGGGAACUGGCAAUAAGUUUUGAUCCGUAGAUGUCCGAAUGGGGAAACCCUAUCCAUCUUGGAUAAUUAUACGUUGAAUACAUAGGCGUAUAAGGCGAACCUGGUGAACUGAAAUAUCUAAGUAACCAGAGGAAAGGAAAUCAAUUAGAGACUCCGGUAGUAGUGACGAGCGAACCCGGACUAGACUAGUAGUUUGAUAUUUAUAAUUAGAAUACUUUGGAAAGAGUAACCAUAGUGAGUGAUAGUCUCGUAUAAGUAGAACAAUGUCAAACUCUCAAGUAGAUCAAGACACGUGAAAUCUUGUUUGAAUAUAGGGGGGCCACCCUCUAAGUCUAAGUACUACUUAACGACCGAUAGUGAACUAGUACUGUGAAGGAAAGGUGAAAAGAACCCCGGGAGGGGAGUGAAAUAGACCUGAAACCAGAUACCUACAAACAGUUGGAGCUUCCUAAUAUUAACUGAUAGGUGAAAAACCUCGGUUUUUCACAAGGAUGUUUUUUUGUGAAGUGACAGCGUACCUUUUGCAUAAUGGGUCAGCGACUUAAUUUGUUAAGCAAGCUUAAGCCGGUAGGUGUAGGCAUAGCGAAAGCGAGUCUUAAGAUGGCGAUUAGUUUAACGGAUUAGACCCGAAACCAAGUGAUCUAGUUAUGGUCAGAUUGAAGAUGCAGUAAGAUGCAUUGGAGGAUCGAACCUACUACUGUUGAAAAAGUAGAGGAUGAACUGUGACUAGGGGUGAAAGGCCAAUCAAACUUGGAAAUAGCUGGUUCUCCGCGAAAUCUAUUGAGGUAGAGCGUUGUAAUAUAGUUUUGGGGGUAGAGCACUUGAUGAGCUAUGGGGGUUAACACCUUACUGAACUCAACUAAACUCCGAAUACCAGACGAUUUUUUACAGCAGACACACUACGGGUGCUAAGAUCCGUGGUGGAGAGGGAAAGAGCCCAGACCGUCAUUUAAGGUCCCAAAGUUGUAGCUAAGUGGGGAAGGUUGUGAGAAGACCAAGACAGCCAGGAGGUGGGCUUAGAAGCAGCCAUCCUUUAAAGAUAGCGUAACAGCUCACUGGUCUAAUAGUUUUCUUGUGCCGAAAAUUCACCGGGGCUAAAGCUACACACCGAAGAUGCGGGCUUGUUAUUUUUUAACAAGCGGUAGCGGAGCGUUCUGUAAGUCGUUGAAGGUAUCCCGACGAGGGGUGCUGGAGAUAUCAGAAGUGAGAAUGCUGACAUGAGUAGCGAUAAAGAAUGUGAAAAACAUUCUCGCCGAAAACCUAAGGUUUCCUACGUCAAGUUAAUCUGCGUAGGGUUAGUCGGUUCCUAAGAUGAGUCCGAGAGGGGUAGUCGAUGGAAAUCAGGUUAAUAUUCCUGAACCUGCAGGUAGUGACAAAUCUCGUAAAUUGUAUUCGCUUAUUGGAUUGCGAAUGCUUUGAAGAGGUUUCAGGAAAUAGCUCCUGCACAAUAGGCCGUACCGCAAACCGACACAGGUAGGUAGGUAGAGUAUACUAAGGCGCUUAAGAGAACGGUAUUGAAGGAACUCGGCAAGUUGCAUCCGUAACUUCGGGAGAAGGAUGAUCUUAGUUAGGGCAACCUUUUUAAGAUGGCACAAAAUAGGGGAAAGCGACUGUUUAUCAAAAACACAGGACUCUGCUAACACGUAAGUGGAUGUAUAGGGUCUGACGCCUGCCCAGUGCUGGAAGGUUAAGGAGAGGAGUUAGCGCUCUGAACUGAAGCCCCAGUAAACGGCGGCCGUAACACUGACGGUCCUAAGGUAGCGAAAUUCCUUGUCGGGUAAGUUCCGACCUGCAUGAAUGGCGUAACGAUUUUCCCACUGUCUCCAAUACCGACUUAGCGAAAUUGAAUUCCCCGUGCAGAUGCGGGGUACCCGCGAUCAGACGAAGAGACCCCAUGCACCUUUACUACAACUUUACGUUGAGGGUAGGAUCAGUAUGUGCAGCAUAGGUAGGAGACUUUGAAGCUAUAGCGCUAGCUGUAGUGGAGUCGAAAUUUGAGAUACUACCCCUACUGUUUUUAUUCUCUAACCAUGAUCCAUUAUCUGGAUUUGGAACCCCGUAUGGUGGGUAGUUUGACUGGGGCGGUCGCCUCCUAAAGAGUAACGGAGGCGCGCAAAGGUAAGCUCAGACUGGACAGAAAUCAGUUUUUGAGAGUGCAAUGGCAUAAGCUUGCUUGACUGCGAGGCUGACAAGCCGAGCAGAGACGAAAGUCGGUCAUAGUGAUCCGGUGAUUCCAUGUGGUGGGGUCAUCGCUCAACGGAUAAAAGGUACGCUGGGGAUAACAGGCUGAUGGUGCUCGAGAGUUCAUAUCGACGGCACCGUUUGGCACCUCGAUGUCGGCUCAUCAUAUCCUGGGGCUGGAGAAGGUCCCAAGGGUUCGGCUGUUCGCCGAUUAAUAAUGGUACGUGAGCUGGGUUCAGAACGUCGUGAGACAGUUCGGUUUCUAUCUGUCGUGGGUGUUGGAAAUUUGAGAGGUUCUGGUUCUAGUACGAGAGGACCGAACUGGAUAUACCUCUGGUGUACCAAUUGUCAUGCCAAUGGCACCGUUGGGUAGCUACGUAUGUAAGGGAUAACCGCUGAAGGCAUAUAAGCGGGAAGCCCUCCUCGAAAAUAAAUUUCCCUAUUAGAGUCGUGAGAGAUUAUCACGUUGAUAGGCUAGAGGUGUAAGUAUGGUAACAUAUUUAGCUGACUAGUACUAAUACUCGAUCGGUUUAUGCUG
rfam:Candidatus Xenolissoclinum pacificiensis L6 Contig7, whole genome shotgun sequence.